GAUGAACGCUGACAGAAUGCUUAACACAUGCAAGUCAACUUGGUGGCGGACGGGUGAGUAACGCGUAAAGAACUUACCUCCCAGUUAGGGACAACAUAUGGAAACGAAUGCUAAUACCUAAUAUGUGAGAGAGCUUUGCGUCCCAUUAGCUAGUUGGAGAGGUAACGGCUAACCAAGGCGAUGAUGGGUAGCCGGCCUGAGAGGGUGAUCGGCCACAAGGGGACUGAGACACGGCCCUUACUCCUACGGGCGGCAGCAGUGGGUAAUAUUGGUCAAUGGGCGUUAGCCUGAACCAGCCAAGUAGCGUGAAGGAUGAAGUCUUAUGGGUCGUAAACUUCUUUUAUAUAAGAAUAUGUAUUAUAUGAAUAAGGAUCGGCUAACUCCGUGCCAGCAGCCGCGGUAAUUC
rnacentral:rRNA from 1 species